rnacentral:rRNA from 1 species
AACGCGAAGAACCUUACCUGGGCUCGAAAUGUAGAGGACGAUAACAGAGAUGUUAUUUCCCGAAAGGGUGUCUAUAUAGGUGCUGCAUGGCUGUCGUCAGCUCGUGCCGUGAGGUGUUUGGUUAAGUCCAGCAACGAGCGCAACCCUUGUCCUUAGUUGCUACGCAAGAGCACUCUAAGGAGACUGCCGGUGACAAACCGGAGGAAGGUGGGGAUGACGUCAAGUCCUCAUGGCCCUUAUGGGUAGGGCUUCACACGUCAUACAAUGGUCGGUACAGAGGGUUGCCAAGCCGCGAGGUGGAGCCAAUCCCACAAAGCCGAUCGUAGUCCGGAUUGUUCUCUGCAACUCGAGAGCAUGAAGUCGGAAUCGCUAGUAAUCGCAGGUCAGCAUACUGCGGUGAAUACGUUCCCGGGCCUUGUACACACCGAA